ensembl:lncRNA
AGAGCGUGUGUGUGGCCGCCAUUUUCUCGUCUGCCGCCACAGGGACUGCCACGGCGUAUUCGUUAUUGGAUUGUGAAUGUGGCAGUGCAAAGAAUGUCCAUCGCAACUAGCUAGCAGAAUCCAGCAGCAAGAGAGACGCCUACUCCAGAGGAAAAAAAACAUAAACAUCAAUAACAGAAUAAACUUUCACCAAAGGUAUUAAAGUAGCGAGUGCAGGGAAAAAAAGAGUGGUUUGUGUGAAUGUGUGUCUGGGAGCAGGAGAGACUUUUCCUGCGCUUUUCCAUUUCCAGCCAUGAACCCUCAACAUUUUCAUUUGUAAAUCUUCGCUCGCCGUUUUUCCUCUGGGGAAAAGAUGUGCAACCCUGGGUAUCGCUGAUUGCCCUGAGAGAUCUGGGGAAUGGUGUGGGAUUGACGUGGCCUCCAUCCUCCAGUGGCGGUUGUGCUACCCUUGACGCCGGCCCGUUUAACAAGGCCUUCACUCAAGCCUGAGCAGGCCAUCAUCACACUCCCCCUACACUCCUACACUCAGGUCAAGGAUGUUUGACACCUCUCCUUCAGCCGGGCACACAGUAAUUCCUGCUGUUCAGUGUGUGACAUUCUGAUUCACAAUGACUUACAAGGACGGCUCUCCCAAAAAAGGAAAUGCUAGCAUCAUGUAUUGUCCCUUCUGUCAUUCUGAGUCCAUCUGAUUUUCUUUCUUCUGUGAAAUGCAAAAGGAGAUAUUUAGUUGAAUGUCCAAGCUGCUCUUUUCCAUUCAGUGAAAAUGGAUGGGGUCUAGAGACACCCUUGUGAAAAAGAAAUACAUACUGUUAAAAAGAGCA